GGGUGUAGCGCAAUGGUAGAGUACCGGUCUCCAAAACCGUAGGUUGCAGGUUCGAGUCCUGUCACCC
rnacentral:tRNA from 1 species